AUGAUGACGACGAUGACAGAGAGCAUGAUGCAGAUUUCAUUCCUACAGACGGCGAUGAUGCCGAAGAGCACGACAGCGACGCAGAACAUGACGACGAUCCCAAAUCAGGCAAGAAGGACAGAAACAGGAGAAAGGCAAGCGGGAAAGAAUUGGCAGCACCAACAGUUGACGAAGAACAAGAAGAAACAAACGAAGAGAAAUGCCAAAUCAAGGCAGGGGCAGCAUUCGCUCAUGUCAAGAAAGCAUGGAAUUUACUUAAAGACCGUCACAAGAAAGAUAUUAGGACGGCAGGAUUUGGCAGCAUAG
rnacentral:rRNA from 1 species